rnacentral:rRNA from 1 species
AGGGCGACCUGGAGCAAAUCCCAAAAAUAAACGUCCCAGUUCGGACUGCAGUCUGCAACUCGACUGCACGAAGCUGGAAUCGCUAGUAAUCGCGAAUCAGAAUGUCGCGGUGAAUACGUUCCCGGGCCUUGUACACACCGCCCGUCACACCAUGAGAGUCGAUAACACCCGAAGCCUGUGAGCUAACCGUAAGGAGGCAGCAGUCGAAGGUGGGGUUGAUGAUUGGGGUGAAGUCGUAACAAGGUAAC